rnacentral:rRNA from 1 species
UACCAGCACCCCGAGUGGUCGGGACGUUUAUUGGGCCUAAAGCAUCCGUAGCCGGUCCUGCAAGUCUUCCGUUAAAUCCAGCUGCUCAACAGAUGGGCUGCGGGAGAUACUACAGGGCUAGGAGGCGGGAGAGGCAAGCGGUACUUUAUGGGUAGGGGUAAAAUCCGCUGAUCCAUAGAAGACCACCAGUGGCGAAGGCGGCUUGCCAGAACGCGCUCGACGGUGAGGGAUGAAAGCUGGGGGAGCAAACCGG